UUUUUUUUUUUUUUUUGUCUUUUGUCUAUUUAGGGCUGCAUCCCUGGUAUGUGGAGGUUCCCAGGCUAGGGAAAUAGCAAAAAGACAAAAAAUAAAAUAAAAUAAAAUAAAAUGUCAAUGGGAGCAAAGACUCCAAGCUGGACAUGUGGCCAACAUGUGUUCCUUAGCCCACCCAUGCCCAGCACAGCUGGGUCCACCCCAGGAACCAAUUCCAUGACAAAGUUCAAAUUCACCAUUCAUUUCAUAAAGCCCAGCUCCAGGCUUUUUAAGCCUAUUUUACUUUUUUGUUGUUGUUUUUGUCUUUAAUAGCAACACCUUGAGCAUCAGUUACUACUAUUUUCAUAAAUACGGUCCAUACUUCGUCUCCAGACCCCUGAUACUGGGCUUGUAUAAACUUUAAAAGUGUUACAAUGACAUUUCUAAUUCAACUUUCAAAUCCUUUGCACAAAGACAGCCCAUAGCUUAUAGAAAAGAUGCCACCAGGGAAUCCAUUACUGAUCCACAGAGACAAUUAUGGGAUUACGAUGCAGGAGAAUGGAGGGGGCGGUAUUGGGGGGAAAAAAACACCCAACCACACAUAUACUUCAUUUUAUACAAAAAGCAGCAAGGAAUUUUUAACAUACAUUAUGCAAAAAAAAAAAAAAAAAAAAAAAAAAUUCAAGGGUCCCUAAAAUCCGCUGGUUAGGGUAUUUUGUGUAACUGGAUAUUCUGAUUGUGUCUCAUUCGAUGACAACCAGUUUCCAAAGAUUAUAGGGCCAUACACUGCCCUCGACACUAAAAUCACGCCAAAUACAACCUGCCUCCUUUGAUGAGUCAAAAUGCACUUCGGGAGCUUGCCAAGUCUUGAGUUCAUCAUUACAAGCAAGUCCUGCUUAUGAAAAAGUUCUCCUUAUUUAACUUUUCGGAUGGGAUUCUGAGCAAGGAGCCGUUCCCUGGGCUAUGGCCAAUCCCACUGCAACACAACCACUGUUCUCCUCGCUUCCGCCCUUUUCACAGAUGGGACCGGCUUCCAGCGAGGUGACCUAUGUUCAGAGAUGGAGAGAGCUGGGCUCAGCCUCCCUGGAAGGGAAGAGGCUUCAGGUUCAUUGUAGUUACUGGUGACUGGUUCUGAAAUUGAGGAACUAGUUUGAGGAACUUCAGAAUAAACAAGAAGCCCAGACAACUUGGCUUUCCACAGAAAGCUUCCAACGCACAGGGGUAACUGGAGGGGAGCACAAGGCCCAGCCCUGCCCUUCAGCAGUGGAACUCCGACCAUGGCCUUGUUUUAGAUGCUGCCCUACACAUCCUUUGACAGACGGGCCUGAGUGGGCAGUCUGGGGAUGUGUCCCUUUCCAACACAGAGUCACCUUCUUGUCCUCCCCCAGGAAAGGAAGAAAGGGCUUGGGACCUGUGAUGUGACAGGGAACACGCCCAGAGGCUCUCAGGCCCAUUCCCUGGUAAAGGAGGCGGGAUCAUGAACCAGCCCAGCAGGGCCUGGAAGAGGAACCUGGUUUCUAGUCUUGCAUUUUCACAUGGUAGCAAAUAGCCAGGGGCCACCACGCUCCAUGUGCUGUGCCGGCCAGAGCUGAUGUGACGGGUGAUCCAGACAGACGAGGUCUGGAGCUUUCACUGUCGUAACCCUGGAAAGGCCUUCCUGAAAUGCUGAAUCCAUUUCCUGAGAAGCACUGUCAUGGGCCAGGCCUUGGACCAGCUGCCCACGACUCUGUCUGAGUGGUGGGAUUUGCUGGUGUGGUCAUGGCCCUCUGUGGUCGAGCCGGAAGUCUAGGAUAGGGUGGCCGUGUCUUUAACAGCCUGCUACUUGUUGUCUGCUUCUCUCAGAACAUUUCUACGGACAAUGCCUAAACCUCUGCCAUUGCACUCCUCUCCCCGGAGCGCUGGGUUUCCGGACUGCGCUCAAGCUCCUACUCCAGGCGGACAAGCGGUACAAGGUCCCUUGUUGAAAGAGAUGCUGUGGGUCCCCAGACACCCGCAAGGUGGGGAGGCAGGCUCCUCCCCUCCAAGGAGCUCAGGCUGCAGCUGGAAAAGGAGGGCUGCUGUCUAAGGGGCUCCUUGCUCCCCUCCAACUCCCACAGUCUUGGUUCACGAUUCAGCGCCUGAAAUGUACCUGCUUCCGCGUCCAUCUUUCCACCCCACGGCCAGUUCGUGGUGGGGCAGGCCCUCAGCUGUUCUUGUUUUCAGAUGCUGGUGCCUAGCACGGCCCGCACUUGAUCCACCUGGCGAGUGGAUGCGCCCCUGGGGACAGACGGGUGCCUGUCUGAGAGCCUGGCUGGCUUGGGAGAUGAGUGUCCUGAUCGUCCAGUCACCUGGUGAGCUGGAGGGAACAAAGCCAGCUCCACGCACAACAGGUCAGAGCGUGGAGGCUGUAUUCUGACUGCACUCCAGCUAGAAGGUGUCCUGCAAGGUGGCUACUGAGCCACAGCUGUCACCCCUGCUCCUAAAUGCUGAACCUGCAUCCCAAAUGAUUGCCAGGUCCCCGAGAGGAUGACCCUUCUCAACUGGACAUCAUGCACCUGAGCUCAGGUGUGCCUACAUGUGCGAGGUGGGAGGAGGUACCCAAAUCUCCACCUUCUACACUCAUCUCUCUAAAGCUAUGCCUGCCCCUUGAAGUACAGCACCUCAGAGUUCCCACCAUGGCACAACAGGAUCAGCAGCAUCUCUGCAGCGCCAGGACGCAGGUUCGAUCCCUGGCCCAGGACAGUGGGUUAAAAGGAUCUGCCAUUGCUGCAGCUGUGGCAUGGGUUCCAACUGUGGCUCGGAUCUGAUCCCCAGCCUAUGAACUCCAUAUGCCACAGGGCAGCCAAAAAAAAAAAAAAAGGAAGAAGAAAGAAAAAAAAGUACAAAGUACAGCAUCUCCUUGUUGGGACUUUUGGGCCGGAGCUCAAGUUGCCUGGUUCAUCCAACUAACUUCCUGGGCCACAGGAGUCCGUUUCUAAUCUUAACUGGCAACAGCAUCCUCAUUUGAGAGUGGCAAGACUCCCUUCCUCCUGAGACUUCCAGCUAUCCCUAGUAUUGACCAGUAGACUAAUUCUGGCCCAGUAAAAGGAAAUGGCAGGGUCAGCAGGAGCUGGGUGGUAGAUCUCGGAUACAACAGCCCUUUGCCCUUCCAGGGCCCACAUCCAGAUGUGACAUCAAGCUUUGCCCACAAGGAAGGGCCUCUUCAUGGAAAAGAGCUGGAUGGAUCCCUCCAGAGUGACGCCCAACGACGCCGGGUCUUCCGGCCACCAGCUUGCCCCAGGCAACAGGACGGCAGAAAGAUGCAGGAGGGCUUCUUGGUGCCCGGUGGGUCUGUAACCUCACAAUCAUUCAUUCACAGUGACUGAAUGCCCACUUUGGGCAAGAUUCUGCCCGCUGAGCUAGGACAAUGCCCUACGAGGGUAGGCAACCUUUGAGACUUCCGGAUAACCCUGCCCAGAAUUGCCUUUUCUUAUCAACUUUUAUCUCCUUUUGGUUACAUGAACCUCAUGGUACAAGAGGGUGUCAAAUUGGCUUUCUGUUUACUUUUUCUUAGACCCAGAGCAGCUGCUGCUCUUGGCUCCACCCUCCCCAGGUCUGGCAGAGCUUGAAGAAAGGCUGAGAGUGAUGGGGUUGGGUGGGGAUACGAAGGAGGAGCUAGUUAAGAAAUAUAAUCCCUGCUCCAGGAGUAGUUCUUUUGUUCCACGUCGGCACAGCACAGUGAAAAGAGCCUAGACCUUAAUUCGGACUCUGCAACUAAGUAGCUGUGUGGCCCUGGGCAGCUCAUUCAACAUCCUUGGGUCACCAUUUUCUGUUUUGUAGAGAGAAAAUUUCCAGGUUGUAACUCAAAGCAGCUCUCUCCUGGCAGUGGUUAAGGCCCAGGGUCAGUGAAGUCAUGUCCACCCAAGUGACUGCUGAUUAGUCCAGAUAGAUGAGGUGUGGGGCUAGAGAGGAGUCUGCG
rnacentral:lncRNA from 1 species